UACGUAGGGUGCAAGCGUUAUCCGGAAUUAUUGGGCGUAAAGAGCUCGUAGGCGGUCUGUCGCGUCUGCUGUGAAAACCCGAGGCUCAACCUCGGGCCUGCAGUGGGUACGGGCAGACUAGAGUGCGGUAGGGGAGACUGGAAUUCCUGGUGUAGCGGUGAAAUGCGCAGAUAUCAGGAGGAACACCGGUGGCGAAGGCGGGUCUCUGGGCCGUAACUAAACGC
rnacentral:rRNA from 1 species